GUGCCAGCCGCCGCGGUAAGACGAAGGUGGCUAGCGUUGCUCGGAUUUACUGGGCAUAAAGCGCGCGUAGGUGGUCUUGUAAGCGGGGGAUGAAAGCCCAUGGCUCACCCAUGGAACUGUCCUUCGGACUGCAAGGCUGGAGGGCGGGAGGGGAGAAUGGAAUUCCCGGUGUAGCGGUGAAAUGCGUAGAUAUCGGGAGGAACGCCGGUGGCGAAAGCGAUUCUCUGGCCCGUCCCUGACACUGAGGCGCGAGAGCUAGGGGAGCAAACAGGAUUAGAAACCCCUGUAGUCC
rnacentral:rRNA from 1 species